rnacentral:lncRNA from 1 species
AUUGCUUCCAAAUCCAAGGAACAGGCAUCUCGGAUCACUGCGCUGUGAGGGCAGGAGGACCCUUCUUUUGGAAAGCGGAAACAGGGCUACCCGAUCUAUCGGUGUCCUAUGGAACCACACUGCCCCCUGUGGUCAGAACCACCUGGGAUGCAGAACAGCAAGGACUGCAAACUUGGGUGCAGAGGGCUUUCCUCCACGCAACCCAGGAAGCUCCGUGAUUGGCAAACUGCUCUGUCAGGAUCCAUCGAAUCAGCAAACAUAGGUGCCUCUAGGAUGCAAACCAGGGAACAGGACUGUUAUGUGGCUUGCUGGUAGCCAAGCAAAAUGCCCCGAUCCAUCAGGUUGGUGAGAGGCCGCUGAAUGAGACCCAGCCUCGUGUUUUGUGGGAUGAAGAGAUGCAGACAAAGUGACUCAGGUACACUGAUGCUCCCUGGAGGGCUGGGAGGUGGGCUCAGAGGAAGAGGGCGAGCCAAGAGUGUGCCAGCUUUUCCCCAACAGGCUAGGGCUCCAGCAGCUCCCCUCCUCUUCAGAACUGGUGCCCACACACUGUCAGUGUCCUACACAUACUCUCACUUGCUUUUCCUUUACAGCGUCUUUUCUCUAACUUUACUGGUCUGAAAAAAAAAAAUUCUAAUACGUGCAGCACUUAUAAGUAACUUAUAAAUAUGGGAAGCUGUCAGAAGUUUAUGUAUUUUAAAACCAUGACAU